GCGCAGGCGGAUUGGUCAGUCUGUCUUAAAAGUUCGGGGCUUAACCCCGUGAUGGGAUGGAAACUGCCAAUCUAGAGUAUCGGAGAGGAAAGUGGAAUUCCUAGUGUAGCGGUGAAAUGCGUAGAUAUUAGGAAGAACACCAGUGGCGAAGGCGACUUUCUGGACGAAAACUGACGCUGAGGCGCGAAAGCCAGGGGAGCGAACGGGAUUAGAUACCCCGGUAGUCCUGGCCGUAAACGAUGGGUACUAGGUGUAGGAGGUAUCGACCCCUUCUGUGCCGGAGUUAACGCAAUAAGUACCCCGCCUGGGGAGUACGACCGCAAGGUUGAAACUCAAAGGAAUUGACGGGGGCCCGCACAAGCGGUGGAGUAUGUGGUUUAAUUCGACGCAACGCGAAGAACCUUACCAGGUCUUGACAUUGAUGGACAGAACUAGAGAUAG
rnacentral:rRNA from 1 species